rnacentral:rRNA from 1 species
GAUGAACGCUGGCGGCGUGCCUAAUACAUGCAAGUCGAGCGAACAGACGAGGAGCUUGCUCCUUUGACGUUAGCGGCGGACGGGUGAUUAACACGUGGUUAACCUACCUAUAAGACUGGGAUAACUUCGGGAAACCGGAUCUAAUACCGGAUAAUAUUUCGAACCGCAUGGUUCGAUAGUGAAAGAUGGCUUUGCUAUCGCUUAUAGAUGGACCUGCGCCGUAUUAUCUAGUUGGUAAGGUAACUGCUUACCAAGGCAACGAUUCGUAGCCGACCUGAGAGGGUGAUCGGCCACACUGGAACUGAGACACGGUCCAGACUCCUACGGGAGGCAGCAGUAGGGAAUCUUACGCAAUGGGGGAAAGCCUGACGGAGCAACGCCGCGUGAGUGAUGAAGGUCUUCGGAUCGUAAAACUCUGUUAUUAGGAAAGAACAAAAGCGUAAGUAACUGUGAACGUAUUGACGGUACCUAAUCAGAAAGCCCCGGCUAACUUCGUG